GUGACUUCUCCAGAACAGACAAAGGCCUGAAGAACAGAGAGAGAGAUAGAGAGAGAGGAAAUACUGUUCAGUCUGGUGGUCUGCUCUUGUUUCUGUGAGAGUUACACAUCAUGUACGCGAUUGCAUGAAGUUCACCUUGUCAGAAACACCCCCAAUUCUACCCCAUCCCAGACGGGUGUGUGCGUGUUCGUGUCCGAGCGCGUGUGUUUGAGAAACCACCAGCGUAAGGCAGAUGAUGGAAUGCAUAACACAGCUCAGGUGUACUCCUCUCCUGUCAUCCUCAAAAAGAGACCCCAGCCACAAAUCUACAUGACCCUUUCUAUUCCAAAUGUUUUACUUUACACCUGUCUUCUUGUCUUUCCCCUCCCUGUCUUAGACUGGGGGCUACAUGCAUGAAGUCUGUGUUCCAUAGAGAUCUUCACAGUGGCUGAAGAAGCACAAUCCUGCUCUCUGGUUCUACAUUGCCCAGGGUCAAUUUAAGCAGUCAUAUCUCACUGUAGAGUCAAGAACGCUUCUCUUCUCCUCCAUUGAAAGAUGUCCCAAGCGUAAUUUACACCCUCAGAUGUUCACUUGUAUAACUUUUGUAAGAUUAUUGAAGUCUUGAGAUUUCAUUUCAGAAAUAGAGUAGAUUUUUUUUCUCUCCGAUUCUAACAUUCCCGUCAGAGUGUCUUCUUCUCUUGACUUUCUUACCCUUGUCAAGUUUUUCUCCAGCUAUCAGGAAGAGAAGCUGAACACACUCCACACAGUUCAUGAGUUCUGCUGCAGAGAUUCAUGUGGCAUUGCUGCUGUGGACCUGCAGCAGGCUCCCUCUAUGACAAUAUUUACCCCAUCUCACACAUACACACAUACACACAGACAUACUCACACUAACACACAUAGACCCAACUCAAAUACCCAACCGCAACAACCCCUUCGAUUCCCUCUCAGAAAUAAAGCCGUAUUGGAGCCCCUUUCAGAUGGAAAUACGUUUGCGGGUUAUCCCGCUGCACCAAAGGGGUUGUCUGAGAGACGGGCUCCGACCAGUGAUUACCUCUUAAAUACAUAUAGAUCCAUCUCUUUGAAUGGCGGGCCAUUGAGCGGGAGAUUGGGUUAAAUUAGAUGCUAAUCAUUUUCCCUUUUCUGCUGUUGGUGAACUGAUAAGGCCUUCAGGACCACCCCUUCGUCACAGACCACAAGAGAUACACUGGAAAACGCUCUCCUCCCUUCUUUCUCCCCCUCUUUAUGGUAAUGCAGGGAGUGUGCCUCCCCAUUUAGAUUUGCCUCUCACUCUCUCUGUCACCCGCUCGUUCACUCGCUGCAUUUAAUAAGAAGAAAGAAGAAGAAGAAGAUAAGUUGUGAGGCUCAGACUGAAAGCUCGGGACGCAUUUACUUUUCAGCAGGGUUGAAAUAGCCCCAGUUAAACCGAAGGAAGAAACAUCACAACCCACUCCCCUCUCUUUUCAAAGAGAAAAUAAGACGGAAGAGAGAGAGAAACUGUUGUGCGAAAUCCUUCAAUUUCCCAAAGAGAGUUAGAUGAUUAUUCACUUGGAUGCUGUUCCAUGCCAGGGGCAUAACUGUGUCUUCCCUGACCAAUGGAAGACUUGUGUAUCAGGAUGUGUAUGUUCAAUCUAACUAACUUCACUGUACAUCUAUUAGUGUAUAUCAUGACACGAGAUAGAUUAAUGGACUUGGAUUGUUAAGCUUUCUUACGCCAGUAUGAUGAACUGAGAGUAUGUUCGUGUAAUGACGUUUCAAGGUUUUGUAAAUUAACGAUUUUCUUCACAAUGCGAAGUAAAAAGCUCCAUAAUAUGAUUGCAAUCUGGAAAGAAAAUUCAGCUGUUGUUGGAAAUGUUUGUGCUGGUAUUUGAAGGUGACUGUUACAACAUGUGUACUGUAGCCAGUGUGUACUACACACACACACACACAGACAUGAAAGCAGAGCAAGACAGGUGCUGGGGCAAACUGAACGAACCCAGACCCCACGCAUCCCUUAAUAUCUACUGUAAAGAUUCCUCUGUGGUGUGUGUGUGUGUGUGUGUGUGUGUGUGUGUGUGUGUGUGUGUGUGUGUGUGUGUGUGUGUGUGUGUGUGUGUGUGUGUGCGUGUGUGUGUGUGUGUG
ensembl:lncRNA